rnacentral:rRNA from 1 species
CCUACGGGAGGCAGCAGUGGGGAAUUUUGCGCAAUGGACGAGAGUCUGACGCAGCAACGCCGCGUGGGUGAUGAAGGUCUUCGGACUGUAAAACCCUGUCGUCAGGGACGAAGGUGCUCGUGUUAAUAGCGCGAGUGCUUGACGGUACCUGGAGAGGAAGCCCCGGCUAACUCUGUGCCAGCAGCCGCGGUAAUA